CUAUCCGGCCACCUGAAAGGAAACAAGAAGAUCAAUUAUGUGAAACAGUUUGGAUGCAAAUUUGUUCAUCUUAUAUAGUGAGAUAUAAAGUUUGCUGAGGUAUCGUGAUGUCUUCUUUACGCCUCAAGCAAUUACGGAUCCAUUUCCACGGGUGCGCCGCGAGGAGAAAGGAAACGGCAAAAUCUUCUGGCAAAAGACAUUGAAAAUAUUUGUUGCUGUCGCAGCAUACAUCAGAUACGCACAAUGGCCGCGGCUCAUUCUCAAGCGUUUGAUUUUAAUAUUCACUGGACGUCUCAUCAAUCUUGGUCAAAUAGGCCAGUACUUUAGCGGUCGCGACGCCCGCGCAUGCCUAGCUGUCUGUAAUGUAUUAUUCAUAAGGGUGGCUUGGCUCUUCCUCCGACUUUCUGCUGUCUGCGAUAAGUGCGAUCUGCAUAAUCGAAUUGACGGGGGUAUCGAUCGACUACCGCCUUAACGAAUUCCCUGCAAUAGUGUUACCGAUGUCCUGCUUAUCAUUCUGACAGAGCAGCGUUCUCCUGGUAGCACGUUGCCUUCUGUUACGUAUGUUACUCCUAGUUUAAUGUGAAAUUGAAUAGGCAUCUGCGCAUGCGCCCAAGUCAAAAGGAUAAACGCCAAUCUAUACGAUGGGUCGAACGAGGAUUUAAUAUUUUCUGGAGAGUAAAUUAUAGCGAUUUUAAUCUCUCCGUAGGGAUUAGGUAUUUCCUGUUUUCUCAUAUUGCGACUGGAUCAUCUAGUUCCUGAUAGGUGGUCGCAGCUGCAUAGGCGGUUGACGCAUGUGCAUAGGGGGAGGUAAGAGGGACGAAUGGGAAGCUACUAGUGUGGCGUCUAGCGGAAUUAUAAUUUCAUGUAAUUCCGCUAAUGGGGAUUAGCUAGCGGGUGGGCAUAAAAUAAUAUUAAGCGAAACACCCUAGGCCGCAAUGUAGGUUUAUAACGUAAUCCGCUUUAAUCCUCGUUGGGGAUUAUUUUGCAUGGCAAACACUCACCCCUCGUUGGAUGGCCAACGUUGAAAGUCCUAAGGGAGAUCCUCGAGUUUGCAAGAAUAUCAGGUGCGUAAUAUGCCUGUGAAAAGUGUAAUAGGCAGACGUGGAAAGUGCAGCGGGAAUUUUUGAGGCGUUUCGAAAUUUUUUGGUCGAACUGUGCAAUUUCUGUAAUAACAUUGUCACGCUCCAACUACGGGCUAAGUACCGUCCGAUGCAGAUAAACGUCAAGUUAUUAUAACGUUCCUGCGACGGGGGUGCAGACGUCAUUCCCAGCGUCGGUUCGUGGUGUUUUCGCGCACGAGCUAGCAGUUGUGCUUCAUGCUGGUUGCCAAAUAAUUUUGGGGCUCUAUUCAUUUUGAAAAGUCACAACGAUCACCGGCUGGUGGUUUGUUCGGUUGGUUACCAGGUUGGUUAACAUAACCUCGCAACUUUCGUCUUUGACAUUCCUAUUGGUACCAUUUGCAUCUCUGCAACAGUCGCCGUCGUGUUCAGGAGGAUUGACCUGACGCGUCAGGCAUGGCCAAAAUAAUGGUGAAGGAGAAAUACUGCAAUCUAAGAUUCUACAAGACGCUGUCGGGUUCCAUCGAUCGCGUCAAGAAUUCGAAGAUAGUUCCCGAAGUUUCGGCUCAAGGAAAACAUUGUCAGCAUCCGACGAAGGGACUGCUAAAGAAUUCUCUCCGGUAAUUGGAAACACGCUCGAGCGCCAACUCUCGAUAAACUCUCGUUAAUCUUCUGGAUAACGAAUUAAUCGGUAGCAGCUUCAAGUUGUUCGAUCAAUUUCUUGAAUAAGCAAUAUGGAUACGGCGAAGCUUAGCUGUCGCUAGAAUUUUCCAAGCUAUUCCUACAAAGAGUGCCACGUAUAUCAUACGUAUGUAUAGUAUACGAUUAUUUAACAUUAUCGAAGCAUCG